AGAGUUUGAUCCUGGCUCAGGACGAACGCUGGCGGCGUGCUUAACACAUGCAAGUCGAACGGAAAGGCCCUUCGGGGUACUCGAGUGGCGAACGGGUGAGUAACACGUGGGUGAUCUGCCCUGCACUUUGGGAUAAGCCUGGGAAACUGGGUCUAAUACCGAAUACACCUCACUGGCUGCAUGGUUGGUGGGGGAAAGCUUUUGCGGUGUGGGAUGGGCCCGCGGCCUAUCAGCUUGUUGGUGAGGUUACGGCUCACCAAGGCGACGACGGGUAGCCGGCCUGAGUGGGUGACCGGCCACACUGGGACUGAGAUACGGCCCAGACUCCUACGGGAGGCAGCAGUGGGGAAUAUUGCACAAUGGGCGCAAGCCUGAUGCAGCGACGCCGCGUGGGGGAUGACGGCCUUCGGGUUGUAAACUCCUUUCAGCACAGACGAAGCGCAGGUGACGGUAUGUGCAGAAGAAGGACCGGCCAACUACGUGCCUGCAGCCGCGGUAAUACGUAGGGUCCGAGCGUUGUCCGGAAUUACUGGGCGUAAAGAGCUCGUAGGUGGUUUGUCGCGUUGUUCGUGAAAACUCACAGCUUAACUGUGGGCGUGCGGGCGAUACGGGCAGACUUGAGUACUGCAGGGGAAACUGGAAUUCCUGGUGUAGCGGUGGAAUGCGCAGAUAUCAGGAGGAACACCGGUGGCGAAGGCGGGUCUCUGGGCAGUAACUGACGCUGAGGAGCGAAAGCGUGGGGAGCGAACAGGAUUAGAUACCCUGGUAGUCC
rnacentral:rRNA from 1 species